rnacentral:tRNA from 1 species
GGAGACAGUCCGGUUGGUCGAGGGGCAUGUUUCGAGAACAUGUAAAGCUGAAAGGCUCCAGAGGUUCGAUUCCUCUUGUCUCCGCCA